rnacentral:rRNA from 1 species
AUGAAAAAGCUAUCAGUCGAGUUCUGCAUAAUCUCCGCGCGCGGUCUAGGACGCAGAUCGUCGCUGCUGAAGCCACAGUGGUUCUCAGUCGGAUGGGUUGAUCCCAGCAGCAAGUACUGUACCAAGAUUGACGCAUCAGGAAACUCAAAUGCAAGCUGGGGCACCAAGUUCUCGGUCUCGGUGGAUGAACAUGAUCUGGCGCAGCAGCAGAUGGAGCUGACAGUUGAAGUCUACAGGAGAGAGCCCAUCUUCCUAAGGGAGCAUCUCCAGGGAGCUGCAGUUGUCCAGAUGAAGGAGUAUCUUGACAAGUUUGCACAAAAUGAGGAGCAUUCAGAAGUCAUUGAGGAGACUGACAGUUUCCAGCUUAGGAGGAAGAAGUCAGACAAAGCUCAUGGAUUUGUGGAUAUAUCCAUCCGGAUCUGCAAGCAAGAAGAUGAUCAUGGUCGGUUUUCAGGAUUACCUGAAGGAUUGAAGAACUCCGAUCAGGUCGGCAUCACAUUGGCAAUAGAAGACGGACCAGUUUAUAAUUAUCCACCGCCACCCUACAACCAUUAUAGGGGCGACAGAGAAGAUGCUGAUCACCAUAGUAAUUCCAGGCCGGUGAUCCCUGGAACUCGCCCAGAUCCAUCACCAUUAGGAAGUAGCUACAGCUACCAACCACCAAUGUUUCCAUCAACCCUGCCACCACCACCAACUUCAAACCUCGGCUUCUUCCCACCACAGCAUCCCGGUAGGGAGCGAGUGCCACAGAACUACAUAAAUGUGCCACCAAGAAAAUCUGCAGCUCAGAAUAGUGCACCAAACUUUGGAAUGGGGCUUGGAGCUGGAGCACUGACUGCUGGAACUAUGAUAUUUGGCGAAACCCUCUUACCUGGUUCAAGUUUCGGUGGUGCUCUUAAUGGUGCAAGCCUAUCUGUAUCCAAUGAUGCACCAUUCUAA